AUUAAUGCCAUGAAUAUUCAAUUAAGAGCCUGUGUACAGAGGCCGCUCUCAAGGAAUCCUCUCCUGUGGCCUCGGGGCAGACAUGAGUGAGGUUCUAGUUCAUGUGCUGAUGAUUAUAGGGUUGUAGAGUAGAGCACCGAUUCAAAGCCCAACCCAACCAGGUCUCACAGAGCUCAGCCUCACGUGGCGCCUCCUCCUGCAGCCCUUCCACUGCUUC
rnacentral:lncRNA from 1 species